CGUAAAAAAUCUAUGAUUAUCAUCAUAACAAAUGGAAUAAUAAAAGACAGAUAAACAUUUCAAUUAACUGUAGAUCUUAUCCACAGAAUAUUUACAAAAAGGUUACGUGCAAUGCUUAUGUAAAGCAACAUAUUACAAAAACCAUAUAUCACCAUUUUGACCCAAACAAACAGAAAUGUUAAAAGAAACAGAGAUGUUAAAAUGACUCUUUAGGUCAGGACAUUCUCUAGCAGUCAUCUUACCAUCUUUCUCUGCCUACUGUUUCCUUUUUUAACAAGCAGAAAUCUGUAACUUUGGUUGAUUUCUCUAGAUACAUAUGAAAGUACAUUUUUCAAAACCAAGCAACCAUGACAUCUAGUGGAGAUUUGCCCAUCAUACAGCAUCUACAGCCUGAGAAUGUGUUGGAUGUAUGGAAGUGGUGAAUGACCAUAAGGACUGAAAACAUACAAACUGAGAUCUAACAUCAAUAUGUUAUGUACAAUUUCAUCUUAAAAUGUCAAAACUGUUAAAACAAUACAAAUGCAAUCUCUAGGCUACCCCAGAAAACUACAAUUUUCUUUUGAAUCAUUGUCUAAAAUAAUGUGAUAUAACGAAGCCUUUGAGUAUGUCGUAGUAACAUUGUAUGUGUUUCCUUAUCAUAUUCAGACUAAUAACAGUCCAAGAAUUCAUUGCGCCCCAAAAUGCAUUCAGAACGUUGCACAUCUAGGCCAGGAGCCAGAGACUAAAGAAACAUCUGAACCUUACAAAAGGUUAAGCUUUUCACAUGCUAGUCUCCAGCCACUCUGUCAAGACAUCCUUGUAAAUCUGAACGGGAAUUUAAGAGGUAGCAACACUCACCGAUGGACAAUAAAGUAGCUAACUGACAAUCCGUCAGUUACUGCACACCACAGCAAGACUAUAAGGUUAAAGUUUGUGAGAGUGGUGAAGAGAAAGGAAACCACAGAAGAUAAGAAAUUGCUUACAUCCCACUCAGUGUGGGACUGGGUGGGUUGCUUCCCACAGGGUAUGUACCAAUGUGCAGAGAGCACACUUCGACAGAUGCCGUCAGAGAACAAGCAUAUGAAUUACCAGGCAGCCUGCCAUCCAGCGAGUUCACACAGAAUGCCAUUAAUACCUGAUGAACAGUCAGACAACAACACAACAACAACAUGAAAGCCGCGGCAACUGGGACCCAGGUAAAGGUUCCAUCAUUUAUAUAUUAAUGGUUUUAUUAACAAAGACUUCCAACUAGCAGCUAGCGAAACCCCUCAAAAGUUACAAUGAUGGAGGCGUCGAAGCUUGAUGCCAGGCUGCAGCAACCAGGGGACCCGUCAGCGAAUCACGUCCCGAUGAAUAAAAGAUAACGCCACUGUUGACCAAUAACUAAUUCAGAAGCCAUGAGAUAUUUAUGGAUACAAUUAAAGAAAACACAAAUCCUUUUACAUUUAAAUUGCAGUAGAUAUUAGAUUUAUCCAAUGAAGUCCCAAUUUAUAUUAAGUAGGUAAAGUACCUUCACAAGUGUACUAUAAUUGGAUGGGAUCAGUGAAUCUGUUAUUGGGGCUUAAUUAAAAAGGAAAGGCUUAGUUAAGUCUUUAGAUGUUCUAUACUAAAAUAGGGCACAUGAUGUUAUGAUCUACGUGAUAUUUUUCAUUAUUAUUAUACAAUUAAUAGUCAACCAAUGAUUAAAUGCAUAAAAUAUCUGAAACAAUUAAUACUAAGGGAUGUAUUCACACUAUAUAAAAAGUGUAUAUUUUCUCUCAU
rnacentral:lncRNA from 1 species